rnacentral:rRNA from 1 species
UACGGGGGGAGCAAGCGUUGUUCGGAUUUACUGGGCGUAAAGGGCGCGUAGGCGGUCAGCACAAGUCAGUUGUGAAAUCUCCAGGCUUAACUCGGAAAGGUCAACUGAUACUGUGCGACUAGAGUGCGGAAGGGGCAACUGGAAUUCUCGGUGUAGCGGUGAAAUGCGUAGAUAUCGAGAGGAACACCUGCGGCGAAGGCGGGUUGCUGGGCCGACACUGACGCUGAGGUGCGAAAGCGUGGGGAGCAAACAGG